UAUUAGCUGCGGUCCAAUCUGAAGGGAGCUGCCCAACUAGGCAGCAUUUUCAGGCAGCAUAGGCGCGCUCCCGAGAAAAGGACUGUCCCAUUCGGAAGGUGGCAUGUGCUGCCUACCUGGGCAGCUGCCUUAUUUUACCCCAAUUCUGAAGGCAGCGUGAGAUGUAUCCUUCACGGCGAAGGCAAUCCCAUGAUGCAUUUCACCAGCUCAGAGUUCCAGCGCUCAGAUUUAAAAACAUGGCGGACGGAGCCGGCCUGUCACGGAGUUUCUGUACAAAUGGAUGAACGUGGGCCGGGGAAGGUGAACUCUGGUCAGACCGGCUGGAGGCAGCGUUAGCUCCCUUUAUGAAUAUAUAUAUUUUUUCUUUGAAUGUAAUAAAGUUUUCUCUCUUAACAUUA